GCCGGGCAUGGUGGUGCAUGCCUGUAAUCCCAGCUCCUUGGGAGGCUGAGGCAGGAGAAUCGCUUGAACCCAGGAGAUGGAGGUUCCAGUGAGCCAAGAUUCUGCCACUUCACUCCAGCCUGGGUAACAGAGCGAGACUCUGUCUCAA
rnacentral:SRP_RNA from 1 species